AACGAGCGCUGGCGGCAUGCCUAACACAUGCAAGUCGAACGAGACCUUCGGGUCUAGUGGCGCACGGGUGCGUAACGCGUGGGAACCUGCCCUUAGGUUCGGAAUAACUCCCCGAAAGGGGUGCUAAUACCGGAUAAUGUCUUCGGACCAAAGAUUUAUCGCCUUUGGAUGGGCCCGCGUUGGAUUAGCUAGUUGGUAGGGUAAAAGCCUACCAAGGCGACGAUCCAUAGCUGGUCUGAGAGGAUGAUCAGCCACACUGGGACUGAGACACGGCCCAGACUCCUACGGGAGGCAGCAGUGGGGAAUAUUGGACAGUGGGCGAAAGCCUGAUCCAGCAAUGCCGCGUGAGUGAUGAAGGCCUUAGGGUUGUAAAGCUCUUUUACCCGGGAUGAUAAUGACAGUACCGGGAGAAUAAGCUCCGGCUAACUCCGUG
rnacentral:rRNA from 1 species